rnacentral:rRNA from 1 species
GAUGAACGCUAGCGGCAGGCCUAAUACAUGCAAGUCGAACGGUGUCUUCGGACAUAGUGGCGCACGGGUGCGUAACACGUAUGCAACCUACCUUACAUUGGGGGAUAGCCUUUCGAAAGGGAGAUUAAUACCGCAUAAGACAGUAGCUGGGCAUCCAGCAGCUGUUAAAGAUUUAUCGAUGUAAGCUGGGCAUGCGUCCAAUUAGCUAGUUGGUGAGGUAACGGCUCACCAAGGCAAUGAUUGGUAGGGGAACUGAGAGGUCAAUCCCCCACACUGGCACUGAGAUACGGGCCAGACUCCGACGGGAGGCAGCAGUAGGGAAUAUUGGGCAAUGGACGCAAGUCUGACCCAGCCAUGCCGCGUGCAGGAUGAAGGCGUUAUGCGUUGUAAUCUGCUUUUAUACAGGAAGAAACGACUCUUGCGAGAGGCAUUGACGGUACUGUAUGAAUAAGCACCGGCUAACUCCGUGCCAGCAGCCGCCGUAAUAC